GUGGGGAAUAUUGGACAAUGGGCGCAAGCCUGAUCCAGCCAUGCCGCGUGAGUGAUGAAGGCCUUAGGGUUGUAAAGCUCUUUCAGUAGGGAAGAUAAUGACGGUACCUACAGAAGAAGCCCCGGCUAACUUCGUGCCAGCAGCCGCGGUAAUACGAAGGGGGCUAGCGUUGUUCGGAUUUACUGGGCGUAGAGCGCACGUAGGCGGAUUGGUCAGUUAGAGGUGAAAUCCCGAAGCUCAACUUCGGAACUGCCUUUAAUACUGCCAGUCUCGAGUACGGAAGAAGUGAGUGGAACUCCUAGUGUAGAGGUGGAAUUCGUAGAUAGUAGGAAGAACACCAGUGGCGAAGGCGGCUCACUGGUCCGGUACUGACGCUGAGGUGCGAAAGCGUGGGGAGCAAACAGGAUUAGAAACCCGUGUAGUCC
rnacentral:rRNA from 1 species